AGCUUUGCGCAGUGGCAGUAUCGUAGCCAAUGAGGUUUAUCCAAGGCGCGAUUAUUGCUAAUUAAAAUAAUUUUAGACUUAGAAAAGUGUAAAAAUAGGACAGAUCUAGAAUAGUCACUCUCUGUGCUGCUGUUCCGGU